rnacentral:lncRNA from 1 species
AUUGUGAAGGGGUUUUUUGGUUUUUUUGAUACCAGAGAUCGAACUCAGGACCUGUACUUGCAAGGCAGGUGGCAGAACCACUGAGCUAAAUCCCCAGCCCCUGUGACGGGUUUUUUAGGGCAGAGUACUAGGGCUACUAGAGGGCUAUUGCACUGAGCUAUAUCCCUAUCCUUUUUUUAUAUUUUAUUUUGAAACAGGGUCUCACUAAGUCACUAAGUUACCAGGAUCGGCUUGAACUUUAGUAUAUGUGCUGCCAAAGCGAGCACAGGAUCGGCUUGAACUUGCAAUUCUCCUGUCUCAGCCUCUCAAGCGUGUGCCACCAUGCUGGGCCAUUAUGGCAUUUUCAUACAUCGGGAGAGAUUAAGCGGCCUUUCCAUUGCUGUCUGGCUCUACAUGAGGAGAGGACAGGCUAUUUAGGGAGCAAAUGCCUGCUGCACCCACACCCGGAGAGCCCAGGUGACUCAAAUGUGCCACUCCAGCUUCUGGACUAGAGGGGACAAUCUGGGCUUAACUUGAAGGGACAGUGUGCAGCCUUGCUGCCUUUGUUGUGGAUAAACAACCAGGCCACUCUAGGGCUGCUCUAGGGCAAAGCGGACAAAGACGUCAAUUUUGGGCUGCAGAUUUUAAAACAGAAACAAAGUGACUAAGGCCGAUUUUACUUGAUUGGAAAAAGAAAACAUCAUUAAACAAGAAAACAUACAUAACAGACUUUUUUUU